rnacentral:rRNA from 1 species
GACGAACGCUGGCGGCGUGCUUAACACAUGCAAGUCGAACGGAAAGGCCCUGCUUUUGUGGGGUGCUCGAGUGGCGAACGGGUGAGUAACACGUGAGUAACCUGCCCUUUACUUUGGGAUAACUUCAGGAAACUGGGGCUAAUACCGGAUAGUAGCUCCUGCUGCAUGGUGGGGGUUGGAAAGUUUCGGCGGUUGGGGAUGGACUCGCGGCUUAUCAGCUUGUUGGUGGGGUAGUGGCUUACCAAGGCGUUGACGGGUAGCCGGCCUGAGAGGGUGACCGGACACAUUGGGACUGAGAUACGGCCCAGACGCCUACGGGAGGCAGCAGUGGGGAAUAUUGCACAAUGGGCGGAAGCCUGAGGCAGCAACGCCGCGUGCGGGAUGACGGCCUUCGGGUUGUAAACCGCUUUCGCCUGUGACGAAGCGUGAGUGACGGUAAUGGGUAAAGAAGCACCGGCUAACUACGUG